rnacentral:lncRNA from 1 species
AUGAAUCCAAUCCAACAUUACAUGAAGAAACUUUCCUUGACCCUUCAAAAUCUAGUGAUUCAAUUUCCGAAUUUUCUCCUGUUCAGGUACCUGUUGAAAGUACAAAAGUAAGUAUAUUUUUAUCGUCUCCACAGGGACUGGUGCGAUAUCGAUAUCGUUCAACAAUUAAUAUAAUUUCAAGUAAAAGAUUUCAAAGAUGGUUGAUUACGAAAGUUGCGAAUACAUGAAAGUAGUAAAGAUGAUUAAUUUGACCGAGAGAUUAAAUUGCUGGGAUUAGAUUUCAAUUACUCAUUCAUACAUAUUCCCCUAAUCAGUUACGCAGGUUCUAGUCAUCUAUUAAUAUUAUCACGUAUCGCUCGUCGAACGUUUUCGUGUCCAGAUAACGCCGAGAUAUCUAUUGCAUCUAUUAACCUCCGAUGUCUCGGAUCGUCAAUCAAUACAAUAGCAUUAAGAUUCGAUAUUCUAAGUGAAUAUUAAACCUAAAUCUAUGUCUAGAAUUUAGAGUUCAAUAGAUAUUAUCCUAGUUCUUAGAUUCAAAAGGCAUAUGUCUAUAACAAUUCAAAUCAAAGAUUAAAACAAUGAAAACAAAGAUAACAUCAAUAUUGAGAGAUAACUAAAAUCAUAUAUAAAACCAUGAUCAAUAGAAACAUAUACUAAUAGAGUAAUUUACACCUAAUCCCAACAAAAGUGUCUUUAGCUACUCAUUACCAUGGUAACUUUACACAAGUGAGAAGAAAAGAGAUGAAAUAACAACACCGGUGUCGAUUUCUCGAACGGUUGGCGUGCAUCCCACCUUUGCCUUGCUCUCCUCUCUGUUUUGCGUUCAGCCCUCCCUGUUUCUUUUUUGUUUUGGGCGUGUGUGUGUUCUGUAUGGAAUGAAUUGAAUGAUUUUCACAAUGGGUGAUGCAAUGCUUAUAUAGGCUUGAAAAGUAACUAUCGAUGGUAAGCCACUUGUAGAAGGAAGGCGGUUUGAUGAUGUCUUUUUUACUGAUUAAGUUAAGCCAACAUUAGUAGCUAAGAAUCAAAGAGUCAAACAUUGCAGCAUAUGGUCCAAUAAAAACUCCUCAUCACUUUAUACAAUAGGACAAAUUGUGCCUCUUCAUGGUUUUGGUCCAAUGAUAAUUUUUCUUUGCAUCCAAGUAUGUAGUUCUACUUACUUCCAUUUUUCCAUUAAGCUCAUAAAAUCUAUAAAGGUGAGGGAAAAUAGGUGAGAGUAGCUAAAAUACUAAUUUACUAGUAAAUAUUAAUAUUUAAAAAUAAUUGGGGUUUUUACAUAAAAUGACUUAUAAAACAAGUCAAUAAGUGCUUAAAAUAAAUAGGUAAAAUCACUGUUUUUGAGCACUUAUCAGUACCAGAAUCUAGCUCAACCUUACAAGAACCCAACACGAUAAAACAUAAAAAACCAAAAAUCAAGAGAAGUAACGCCAAUACACUCUAAAGACUCGCAUCUCCCAAUUGCCCAUAGGAAAGAAACUAGAACCUGCACCAACA